GACGAACGCUGGCGGCGUGCCUAAUACAUGCAAGUCGAGCGAGCGGAACUAACAGAUUUACUUCGGUAAUGACGUUAGGAAAGCGAGCGGCGGACGGGUGAGUAACACGUGGGGAACCUGCCCCAUAGUCUGGGAUACCACCUGGAAACAGGCGCUAAUACCGGAUAAGAAAGCAGAUCGCAUGAUCAGCUUUUAAAAGGCGGCGUAAGCUGUCGCUAUGGGAUGGCCCCGCGGUGCAUUAGCUAGUUGGUAAGGUAAAGGCUUACCAAGGCGAUGAUGCAUAGCCGAGUUGAGAGACUGAUCGGCCACAUUGGGACUGAGACACGGCCCAAACUCCUACGGGAGGCAGCAGUAGGGAAUCUUCCACAAUGGACGCAAGUCUGAUGGAGCAACGCCGCGUGAGUGAAGAAGGUUUUCGGAUCGUAAAGCUCUGUUGUUGGUGAAGAAGGAUAGAGGUAGUAACUGGCCUUUAUUUGACGGUAAUCAACCAGAAAGUCACGGCUAACUACGUGCCAGCAGCCGCGGUAAUACGUAGGUGGCAAGCGUUGUCCGGAUUUAUUGGGCGUAAAGCGAGCGCAGGCGGAAGAAUAAGUCUGAUGUGAAAGCCCUCGGCUUAACCGAGGAACUGCAUCGGAAACUGUUAGUCUUGAGUGAGGUUGCAGUGGCUGGAAUGUGUAGUGUAGCGGUGAAAUGCUUAGAUAUUACGCAGAACACCAAUUGCGAAGGCAGGUCACUAAGCCUCAACUGACGCUGAUGGACGAAAGCGUGGGGAGCGAACAGGAUUAGAUACCCUGGUAGUCCACGCCGUGAACGAUGGAUACUUGCUGUUGGAUUUUCGGAUUCAGUGGCUAAGCGAAAGUUAUAAGUAUCCCACCUGGGGAGUACGUUCGCAAGAAUGAAACUCAAAGGAAUUGACGGGGGCCCGCACAAGCGGUGGAGCAUGUGGUUUAAUUCGAUGAUACGCGAGGAACCUUACCAAGGCUUAAAUGCAUAAUGACGUAUUUGGAAACAGAUAUUUCUUCGGACAGAAUGCAAGGUGCUGCAUGGCUGUCGUCAGCUCGUGCCGUGAGGUGUUAGGUUAAGUCCUGCAACGAGCGCAACCCCUAUCAUUAGUUGCCAGCGUUUAAAGACGGGGACUCUAAUGAGACUGCCGGUGCAAACCGCGAGGAAGGUGGGGACGACGUCAAGUCAUCACGGCCCUUACGUCUUGGGCUACACACGUGCUACAAUGGUAAGUACAGAGGGCAGCUACUUAGCAAUAAGAUGCGAAUCUCAAAAACUUAUCUCAGUUCGGAUUGGAGUCUGCAACUCGACUCUAUGAAGCUGGAAUCGCUAGUAAUCGCAUAUCAGCCAUGAUGCGGUGAAUACGUUCCCGGGCCU
rnacentral:rRNA from 1 species